rnacentral:rRNA from 1 species
UACGGGGGGUGCAAGCGUUGUUCGGAAUUAUUGGGCGUAAAGCGCGUGUAGGCGGUUUGAUUAGUCUGAUGUGAAAGCCCUGGGCUCAACCCAGGAAGUGCAUUGGAUACUGUCAGACUUGAAUACGGGAGAGGGUAGUGGAAUUCCUAGUGUAGGAGUGAAAUCCGUAGAUAUUAGGAGGAACACCGGUGGCGAAGGCGGCUACCUGGACCGAUAUUGACGCUGAGACGCGAAAGCGUGGGUAGCAAACAGG